rnacentral:misc_RNA from 1 species
AAGAGUUGCAAAACUCCCUUAAACCAUCGCGAACGUUACUCUAUAACCGUUGCUUCGGCGGGCGGGCUUACCCCUCACGGGGCGCCCCCCGGCCCCUCGCGGGGCGCUCGCCGGAGCGGCGCAACCCAAACUCUUAUAAUUAUUGGCCUCUCUGAGUAAGAUUUUUAAAUAAGUCA